rnacentral:tRNA from 1 species
AUUUAUAUAGUUUAAUCAAAACAUUACAUUUUCAUUGUAAAAAUAAAAGCUCUUUUUUAUAAAUA